AGUUUGUGCGGGGCUGGCGGCAGGGAGCGAGCGAAAGGAGACGUGUGGGGGAGGGGCGGACGGGCUGACUGACUCGCGGGGAAUUUCUCUCGCCGUGGUUGUGUGCAGACAGUAACUGGGUGAAACUGGGGCCGGAGCACGGGCCGCUGCUGAGCCACUGCGCUAAUGUCAGAACCCGGCUGCGCUGGGGGAUGUGUAAGAUGCCAGCAGAUAUCCUACAAUAUGCCAUGAAAAAGAGAUCCAUUUACCCUUACCAAGGAAGAGUGCCUUUAGGCUAAAGGUUUGUAAACUGCUGUGAGAUGUUCUAAUUAAAGGAGGUACAGAAUUGUAAACAUCACUGCUGUGAGCCAGAUUCUUCCAUCUUUCCUCCAAUAGUCUCAUUGGGAAAAGAUACUACUUAAGAACCAGUGCCUCAUUCAAGGUUCAGAAUGGACAGUGUUCUUAAUGUUUCUUUAACAAUUUUUGUGUGUGUGUAAUAUUUCAGUUACUUACUAGUUUCCAAUAUAAAAAUUUGUGUGACCAUUUU